UUGGGUCAUUUGUUGCAUGAUGACCUACCCUGGUGGUCAUACUAUAAGUUUCAAACCGGAGAGUUUGAAACUGGGUUAUGGGACUUUUAUACACCGAAGCAAAAAAUAGAUCUAGCUUUAUGAUGAAGAUGUUUGGAAGAAAUAUUGUGAACUUUGAACAUUAUAAUUUUUCAACAACAGAUGAAACAGUUUUACAUAGUUUAUAAAAAUAUUUCUUGACAUAAUGAUUGAAAAUACUUAUUCUGAAAAGGGCUGGAUACUUUUUGUAAUAUCACAAAUAUACAGGUACUGUAGACAACAUUUAAUAGUUUGUAUUAUGGUGUUAAAGUACAAUGAAGUUACUCAAUACUGAAAAUUCUCAGUGACUCUUCCUGGUGUUAUAAUUGAACAAAAUUACUUCAUCUUUAAAAAAGAAAUAAAAUCUUCUUUUUCAGUACACAUACCAUAUCUAGAGAUGACACGAGACUUUAGACCUGUCAAAAUUAAAGGAAUGGCAGAGUGUCAUCUUAGAAACACAUAAUAGAAUGUCCUGUUGGAGGAACGAUAGAAUGUCAGACUGGGCAGAAUGUCAUGUUAAAGAAACAGCAGAAUGUCAUGUUAAAGGAAUAGCAGAAUGUUAUAACAGAGGCAGAGAAAACAAUAAGGCUUUAAGCUCGACUACAGGCAGCGCAAGGCCAUUCCAUGAUAAAAUUGGAAGAGGAAUUGUCAACCGAGAUCAAAAGGGAAUAACCCGAGGUUUGAGUACGGGCGGUGCAGGACCAUUCCAUGCAUCUUUCAAUGGAGGUGGUAUGUCCUUUCGUGAUGAUCCAUGGUACCAACUACCAGGCUUGGGCUACUAUCAGAUUGGAUGGAUUACGCAUCAUGAGUCAUCAAUUUGUUCACGCUGCCGUGGAACCAUUAGCAUGGGUUGGAUUUCAUCCUGAUCUACUUCUAAGUUCGGGCCAUGGUUUCUUCAGAAAAGAUACCUGCUUAGGAAUAACAGCCGCAAAAUUAAAGUUUAGUGGAGAGCAGUAUGGUACCUAUACAUGGUCCAGACAGGAGGAAAAUGGAAACACCAGGUCUUGUCAGACAUACAGUUAAGAUCAUAGAAAGAUGACUGGUUUUAAAGAUGCUGUACAACAUAAUAAGAGUCAGUCUUCCAAAAUAUAAUGCACACUUGGCCAUUAUCAUGACAGUACUGAUGGUACAACAUAGCCAAAGUUUCGUAUACAUGCAACACCAAACAAGUUGUCCAGUUGAAUUUGAAUUUUCUAGAUGCAGAAUCAACACAGCAUUAAUGUGCAAGCAGCCUGCUUAAAAAAAGUUUGCGAGUUACAUUGGAACUUGAUGGGAACACACCAAUACUGGGUAUCAAGCAACACAGAGGCAUUGUAUUGGAUAUCCUGGCAAAUAAGGUACCUAGUGUAGCUAAGAGAAACUGACAGUCAUAAAGAAUUACUUCUGACAGAUUACUGACACAAAGAUUGAAAGAAAUGAAUGAACAAUUGACAGUUUUAAAGCAAUUAUUUGAUUUUUUUCAAUUUUUAAAGAAUUAAGCUGAAUUUUUCUCGUAAUAGGUAUUUGUAUAGAAUGUCCAUUGAACAUGUUUUACUUUGUGUAAGUGGGUGCAGAGCCAGAAGUAAGUUUCAUAAGGAUAUUUUCUAAAUGUUUUGUAAAUAUAGAUACUUAGUUGUAAUAGAUAUUUCUAUUUUUAGCUCACCUGUCUGGAAGUGACAAGGUGAGCUAUUGUGACCGCUUGAUGUCCGUCGUCCGACAACAAUUUCUUCUUGAAAACCACUGGGCAGAAUUACACCAAACUUCACAGGAAUGAUCCUUGGGUGGCCCCCUUUCAAAAUAAAUUGUUCAAAGAAUUGAAUUUCAUGCAGAACUCUGGUUGCCAUGGCAACCGAAAUAAAAAACUUUAAAAAUCUUCUUGUACAAAACCAUGGCCUAGGGCUUUGAUAUUUGGUAUGUAGCAUCAUCAAGUGGUCCUCUACCAAGAUUGUUCAAAUUAUCCCCCUAGGAUCAAAUAUGGCCCUGCCCCGGGGGUCCCAAGUUUUACAUAGACUUAUAUAGGAAAAAAAGUUUAAAAAUCUUCUUGUUUGAAACUACAACACAUAGACCUUUGAUAUUUGGUUUGUAGCAUUGUCUUAUGGUCCUCAACAAAAAUUGUUCAAAUUGUACCCCUUGGGUGAAAAGAGGCCCUGCCCUGGGGGUCCCAAGUUUUAUAUAGACUUAUAUAGGAAAAAGCUUUAAAAAUCUUCCUGUCUGAAACCAUACAACCUAGGCUUUUGAUAUUUGGUAUUGUCCAAUUCAUUUGACCUGUCAAAAAAUAGACCCGGCUUUUAUUAUAUUCUGUUCGAGCCUAUAUAAGAUUAACAUGAAAGCCGGGAACAUGUUUUGACAGGUCAAUUAAAUAGCACAGUAUGAUGCAUUGUCUAGUAGUCCUCUUCCAAAAUUGUUCAAAUUAUGCCCCUGGGGUUAAGAGGCCUCGCCCUGGGGUCACUUAGUUAUUAUGUGAGUUAUAUAGGAAAAAUACUUAAAAAAUCAUCUGAUCCUAUUUCCAAGACUGUUUAAUUAUAAUUACCUGAUGUCAUGAUGUCACUUGACUGUGACCUUGACCUACUGACCUACUUUCUUGUUUUUUAAGAUACAGCCUUGAAAUUUGGAUGACAUGAUUGUACAGUUUUGCACACCGAUCUUUGUUUUUGACUUUCAGUGACCAUGAAUAUGACCUACUGACCUACUUUCUUGUCUUUUAAGAUAUAGCCUUGAAAUUUGGAUGACGUGUACAGUUUUGCACACUAAUCUUAAAACUAAUUUUCAGUGACCAUGAAUAUGACCUACUGACUUACUUUCUUGUUUUUGAAGCUUUAGCAAAGAAAUUUGCUCAAGCAAGCAACUUAACUCAGGUGAGCGAUAUAGGGCCGUCAUGGCCCUCUUGUUUUGAAUUUUUAUCAAAUUUGUUUUAACUUAAACUUUAGGUAUAUAGUAGUGGCUUCUGUCAAAUAUCUUUUUCAAUAAAGUAGGCUGACUAUAACUAAAGUAAAAUCUAUAUUUUAUUGAAAAUAUAAAACUUACUACUAUCACUAAUGCAACAACAGGUACUUUCUUUCGACAGGAAACUGGUAUUAGUAUUUUUAGCUCAUAUGUCACAAAGUGACAAGGUGAGCUUUUGCGAUGGCACAGCGUCCAUCGUCCGUGCGUGCGUACAUCCGUAAGCUUUUGCUUGUGACCACUCUAGAGGUAACAUUUUUCAUGGGAUCUUUAUGAAAGUUGGUCAGAAUGUUCAUCUUGAUGAUAUCUAGGUCAAGUUUGAAACUGGGUCACGUGCGGUCCAGAACUAGGUCAGUAGGUCUAAAAAUAGAAAAACUUUGUGACCUCUCUAGAGGCCAUACUUUUCAAUGGAUCUUCUUGAAAGUCAAUCAGAAUGUUUAUCUUGAUGAUAUCUAGGUCAAAUUUGAAACUUGGUCACGUGCCAUCAAAAACUAGGUCAGUAGGUCAAAUAAUAAAAAUACCUUGUGACCUCUCUAGAGGCCAUAUUUUUCAUGGGAUCUGUAUGAAGGUUGGUCUGAAUGUUCAUCUUGAUGUUCGAAACUGGGUCAACUGCUAUCAAAACUAGGUCAGUAGGUCUAAAAAUAGAAAAACCUUGUGACCUCUCUAGAGGCCAUACUUUUGAAUGGAUCUUCAUGAAAAUUGAUCUGAAUGUUCACCUUGAUGAUAUCUAGGUAAAGUUCGAAACUGGGUCACGUGCCUUCAAAAACUAGGUCAGUAGGUCAAAUAAUAAAAAAACCUUGUGACCUCUCUAGAGGCCAUAUUUUUCAAUGGAUCUUCAUGAAAAUUGGUCAGAAUUUAUAUCUUGGUGAUAUCUAGGUCAAGUUCAAAACUGGGUCACAUGAGCUGAAAACUAGGUCACUAUGUCAAAUAAUAGAAACAACGAUGUCAUACUCAGUUCAAAACUGGGUCAUGUUGGGACAGGUGAGCGAUUCAGGACCAUCAUGGUCCUCUUGUUGAGAAUUUUUACUUAGAUAAGUUGUCUUGCCAGAUGUUUGGAUAUCACAGGCAGAAGAUUGUUAAAGUAAAAAUAGGGGAAAAUCAGCUGUAGGUUUUACACAAAGUAAAUGCAGGGUUUUUGUCAAAACAGUACACAUUUAUUUCAUUUAUUUAGGUUUACAUUCACUGAGAAGUCUGUUUAAUGUCAUUUUCAGUACUUGAAAAUAUAGUACAACACAAAAACAGAAAAGUUUUACCACACCCAGUAAUAUCAGCUAAGUACAUAGAACUGAAGACUGUGCAUUGAAUGGUGUAGAGAUCAGUCCCUGGACGUGGUUCUCCAUAAAAAUGUAAUAACACUGCAUAUCUGAAUUUAUUCAUCCCUGUAUCUCUCCUUAUAUAUAUACAUAGAGAGAGAGAGAGAGAGAGUCAUGUGGAGAAGUUUUUCAUUGCUGGUGCUGAAAGCAGAAGCACUAGUUAUAAUUUAAUAUUUAAGGUAUAGGUCCAUGUUUAAGAGAAAAAAGUUCGAACGUCAUCAAAUCAUAGAAAGAAAGCAUUGUUUUACUUGAAAAUUUAACAGCGUAUAAAACAUUUAUAUUAUUCUGCAAAACCAUUGACAACUUACUGAUAUAUGUAUUGAAUUCCGAAAAGGGACUGCAUGAAGGGGCCACACUUCUGGACAGUUCAGCGCCUUUAGAAACGCACCCUUUUUUAAAAAGCUGUUUCACGUCUUCGUUUUGAUGCAUUUGCAACAUCGUACGAGUGUUUUAACUUUACAUAACUAGGUAAAACAUUGUUUUUGACAAUUGUUUACAUUUUUUCUUUACAAAUGGCAUUCUUAUUAGUAGUAUAGGCGUCGGUUUGGGGCCACGACUGCGCAUGCGUGAGAAUGACGUCUUGCGCAGCGGCCAUUUUGAAUUUUAUUUUAAGAAUGACAUCAUCUUUCUAUUUUAAGAAUGACCUCACUCUGCUAUUUAUAUCUCCCAGAAGUAUAUAGAGCUGACUUAUAUACCUAUCUAGGGCUUGUCGCGCACAUUGAGGGUCAGGUGCUCAGCCCUAGACGGGGAGAUAACAUGAAAACAAAAAACUAUAUAUUAAUAAUGUUUAAUUAAUAAUCAUAUAGAUUUAUCUGUAACGUAAUAUACAUAGUAUGGUAAUCAGAGAACUUAUUAAUGAUAAGCAAAAUGUUUAUUAUAUUUUUAAUUAAAACCAUUAAGCUUUAUUUAAGAUAGCUACGUUAGAAGUAACGUUAACUGAAAAUAAAGUAUUACUUUCUUGCUUACGAUGUUUCCUCCUUGGCAUCUACUGACCAAAUGACUCCAAUCAUAAGCGUAUUAUUCCUAAAUGCGCAUGCUCGGAUCUAUUUUUACAAUGACUUCAUAAGCUAUAUUUAGAUAAGGUCAUGAGUGUAUCAAACGUGAACAUGGUCAGAAUGUCUAGCGUGUGUUGAUUUAAGGCCGGAUAGACGGACAAUAAAAAGUAAACAUGUCAAAGUUAAUCCCUUUAAAGUCGCCACAACGUCUGGCGUGUAUUUAUUUAAGAGCGGAUACGUUAACAAUAGCCUAUUCAACUGUCAAAUUUAAUCCCUUUAAAGUCGUCACAAUGUCUGGCUUAUGUUGAUUUAUGGACGGAUGCAUUAACAAAGGCCUAUUGAUCUGUCCAAGUUAAUCCGUGUAUUGAGUAUGGGAAGGGAGGUGACAUCAGGUCUGGGUCGCAUAUGGACCGAAGUGCCUCUUUCAUACCAUCAAUGAUAUGAUGUUAAAGAACAUUUUUCUUAAACAAUUGCCAACAUUUUUAAUGACCAUCCAGAGUUUUAGAACCAGUAAAGGGCUUUUUUAAGAAGGUUGUAAAAUCAUCAAAAUAAGACGUUUUACGGUCCAUUUUUACAUUUUGGGUUUCUGAUAUUUUUGAAAAGCCCAAAGUGUGUACUUUACCAUAAACUAGGUGCCAACCGGAAAUGAAGUCAUUAAAAUUUCAAAGUCAUCGUACAGACUCGGGACCGGUACCGUUAGAAAAAUUUUUUUGAGUAGGUUCAGAAAAUAUGUACAAUUACGGGUCUAUCUCUAUCCGUUUUCCAGAUAUUGAGGUUUAAACCAGAAUCAUUCAUCCGGAAACACCCGGCUUCAUGCCUUUAUUAUUAAAGAUAACCUAGGCAUGUUGGGUAUCUAACCGAAGGUCUCGACUAGUACUAUAAGUUGGUACACUCAAACAGGAAGUGAAAUCAAUCACACGUAAAAUUCACAUUUUCUGCGCGUCCCUAGACUCGAACCUGGUCAAGUAAGGUACCAUUGGAAAGGUCUUUACAAGACGAUUC